rnacentral:rRNA from 1 species
AUUGAACGCUGGCGGCAUGCUUUACACAUGCAAGUCGAACGGUAACAGGUUAAGCUGACGAGUGGCGAACGGGUGCGUAAUGCAUCGGAACUUGCCCGACCGUGGGGGAUAACGCAGCGAAAGCUGCGCUAAUACCGCAUACGAUCUCAGGAUGAAGACGGCGGACCAGAACGCCCCGCGAGAUCGGAGGGGCCCAUGACAGAUUAGGUAGUUGGUGGUGUAAAGGCUGACCAAGCCAACUAUCUGUAGCUGGUCUGAGAGCACGACCAGCCACGCUGGGACUGAGACACGGCCCAGACUCCUACGGGAGGCAGCAGUGGGGGAUUUUGGACAAUGGGCGAAAGCCUGAUCCAGCAAUGCCGCGUGCAGGAAGAAGGCCUUCGGGUUGUAAACUGCUUUUGUACGGAGCGAAAAGGCUCUCUCUAAUACAGGGGGCUCAUGACGGUACCGUAAGAAUAAGCACCGGCUAACUACGUGCCAGCCGCCGCCGUAA